rnacentral:rRNA from 1 species
CUGGCUCAGGACGAACGCUGGCGGCGUGCUUAACACAUGCAAGUCGAACGGGGUAUCAGGGUAGUAAUACCCGAAGUACCUAGUGGCGAACGGGUGCGUAACACGUGAGCAACCUACCCCAGAGCUUGGAAUAACACCGGGAAACCGGUGCUAAUACCGAAUACUCUCAUUCGGCCGCAUGACUGAAUGAGGAAAGAUUUAUCACUCUGGGACGGGCUCGCGGCCUAUCAGCUUGUUGGUGAGGUAACGGCUCACCAAGGCUACGACGGGUAGCUGGUCUGAGAGGACGAUCAGCCACACUGGGACUGAGACACGGCCCAGACUCCUACGGGAGGCAGCAGUGGGGAAUAUUGCGCAAUGGGCGAAAGCCUGACGCCGCAACGCCGCGUGGAGGAUGAAGGCUUUCGGGUUGUAAACUCCUUUCAGCAGGGACGAAACUGACGGUACCUGCAGAAGAAGCCCCGGCUAACUACGUGCCGGCAGCCGCGGUGAGACGUAGGGGGCAAGUGUUGUCCGGAUUUAUUGGGCGUAAAGAGCUCGUAGGCGGCUCGGCAAGUCGGAUGUGAAAUCUCCAGGCUUAACCUGGAGUCGCCAUCCGAUACUGCUAUGGCUAGAGUCCGGUAGAGGAUCGUGGAAUUCCUGGUGUAGCGGUGAAAUGCGCAGAUAUCAGGAGGAACACCAACGGCGAAGGCAGCGAUCUGGGCCGGUACUGACGCUGAGGAGCGAAAGCGUGGGGAGCGAACAGGAUUAGAUACCCUGGUAGUCCACGCCCUAAACGUUGGGCACUAGGUGUGGGGCCUAUUUCGACGGGUUCCGUGCCGUAGCUAACGCAUUAAGUGCCCCGCCUGGGGAGUACGGUCGC